rnacentral:rRNA from 1 species
CAUCUCAGUAAUGCAGCUAACGCAUUAAGUGUACCGCCUGGGGAGUACGGUCGCAAGAUUAAAACUCAAAGGAAUAGACGGGGACCCGCACAAGCGGUGGAGCAUGUGGUUUAAUUCGAAGAUACGCGAAGAACCUUACCUGGGCUUGAUAUCCUAAGAACCUUUUAGAGAUAAGAGGGUGCUAGCUUGCUAGAACUUAGAGACAGGUGCUGCACGGCUGUCGUCAGCUCGUGUCGUGAGAUGUUGGGUUAAGUCCCGCAACGAGCGCAACCCACGUAUUUAGUUGCUAACGGUUCGGCCGAGCACUCUAAAUAGACUGCCUUCGUAAGGAGGAGGAAGGUGUGGACGACGUCAAGUCAUCAUGGCCCUUAUGCCCAGGGCGACACACGUGCUACAAUGGCAUAUACAAUGAGACGCAAUACCGCGAGGUGGAGCAAAUCUAUAAAAUAUGUCCCAGUUCGGAUUGUUCUCUGCAACUCGAGAGCAUGAAGCCGGAAUCGCUAGUAAUCGUAGAUCAGCCAUGCUACGGUGAAUACGUUCCCGGGUCUUGUACUCACCGCCCGUCACACCAUGGGAGUUGAUUUCACUCGAAGCCGGAAUACUAAACUAGUUACCGUCCACAGUGGAAUCAGCGACUGGGGUGAAGUCGUAACAAGGUAACCGUAGGAGAACCUGCGGUUGGAUCACCUCCUUUCUA